UUGCUGAAUAUAAAUAAGGGAUCCCGCUAGGGAGAUAAUAGACUAUUUAUACAAUGUGUAUAAUGGGCUAUUGAGUUACAAAAUGAACAUCUCCCAUACUAUCUAGAAUAACCAUCCGAGUACUAGUGAUAAUAAA